AAAAAUUUUUGGUCUCGUGCCAAAUCAACCUUUGUGUGCACUAUUGUCUGUUUUUGGUAGUUCGAGCGGCGUUUCUGUGGGCCUCAACAGCCCCGCCAACGCACUACCUGCUUGUCUCGCUUGCGAGUGAGUGGGUUGGGCUACCGCCUUUUUUGAACAAACCUUAUGUUUUGAGUUUCAGUCUGAACGAAAAGUUAAUCUUUUUUGAUUAAUGAUUCUUAUA
rnacentral:misc_RNA from 1 species